ACAGAUCUGGAUGCUGCUGGGCCAAGGUUUAAAUCAAUACUAAGUUUCCUGCGGCCAUCGAAUACCGACGCUUAUUUCGUUGAAGCAAUGCAUACUAAUGGAGCUACUUCAGAAAAAGAAGGAGAAGGAUUAAUACCGCCUAUUGCAGAUAUCGAUUAUUAUCCAAAUGGAGGUCAAUUGCAGCCAAAAUGUGUAAAGGGAGCAAGAUUUCGAACUGAGACUGGAGAAAUUGAUACGGGUAAAACAUUUAAGCAAAAAAUAUGCCUAUGUAAUUCAACCGGUUUCAUAUUGAAAAAUAUGUGACU